rnacentral:rRNA from 1 species
UGUGAAAUUCAAUUUAAUUUGAACUUGAAGUAUUGCUUUUGUUUUAGGUUUUGUUAAUUUUGAUGGAAUUAUUUAAAUUUUUAUUAGUUUUUGGGGAAAAAAUAUUUUUUGCUAUAGGGGAAAGUAUUGUAAAAGGAUUAAAUUUAAGUUUUAUAAAGAAAAUUUUAUUUGUUGUACCUUGUGUAUCAGGGUUUAUUAAAUUAGGAUUUUAGAAAAAAUUUUCUCGAAUUUUGAAGAGCUAUGAUAAAAAUAAUUUUACUGUAGAAUAAGUAUUUAGAAUUUUUUCAUAGUAAUGAAAUGUUAUUCGUUUCUUAAUAUAUCUAGUUUUCCAAGAAAUGAAUUUAAUUCAGCAUUUAUUAAUGUAAUUAUAAUUUAAAUUUUUACGUUUUUAUUUGGUAAUAUUCAAGGGGAUAAGCUUUUGAAUAAAUUUUUAAAAAUUUAUUUGUUUUGAUGAUUUAUAGGAUUAGAAUUUUCCAUUAUUUAUUAGGAUGUUAUAAUUAGUUGUCUAGUCAUUUUGAUUUAUUAAAUUUUAAGUUUUUUAUUGGAAUAUGAAUUUUAAUUUUUUAUGUUUUGUAAUAAUGAUAGAAUUAGUAUAAUUUUUUGUAUUUUAUUUUUUAAUAUUGAAGGCUAAGCUAAGGAAUUCGGCAAAUUAUAUUUUCACCUGUUUAAUAAAAACAUGUCUUUUUGAUGAUAAUUUAAAGUCUGGCCUGCCCAAUGAUUAUUUAAAUGGCCGCAGUAUUUUGACUGUGCAAAGGUAGCAUAAUCAUUAGUUUCUUAAUUAGAAGCUGGAAUGAAUGGUUUGAUGAGGGAUAAGCUGUCUCUGUUUAGAUGAUUUAGAAUUUUAUUUUUGAGUUAAAAAGCUCAAAUUUUGUAUAAAGACGAGAAGACCCUAUAGAGUUUGAUUAAUUUGUUUUUAAUUUUUAUUAUGUUUAAAUUUUAUUUUUAGUUGUGAAUUAAUUUUGUUGGGGUGAUUUAAAAAUUUAAUUAACUUUUUAUUUUUGUUUACAUUAAUUUAUGAUUAUUUGAUCCUAUGUUUUAGAUUGAAAGGCUAAAUUACCUUAGGGAUAACAGCGUAAUUUUUUUUGAAAGUUCUUAUUGAUAAAAAAGUUUGCGACCUCGAUGUUGGAUUAAAAUUAAUUUUUGGUGUAGCAGCUGAAAAAUUAGGUCUGUUCGACCUUUAAAAUUUUACAUGAUCUGAGUUUAAACCGGCGUGAGCCAGGUUGGUUUCUAUCUUUUAUUUUUUAAAAUAUUUUAGUACGAAAGGACCAGAUAUU